UACGGAGGGUGCGAGCGUUGUCCGGAAUCACUGGGCGUAAAGGGCGCGUAGGCGGCCUGGUAAGUAGGGGGUGAAAUCCUGCGGCUUAACCGCAGGGCUGCCUUCUAAACUGUCAGGCUCGAGCACAGUAGAGGCAGGUGGAAUUCCCGGUGUAGCGGUGGAAUGCGUAGAGAUCGGGAAGAACAUCAGUGGCGAAGGCGGCCAUCUGGGACAACACUGACGCUGAAGCACGAAAGCGUGGGGAGCAAACAGG
rnacentral:rRNA from 1 species